rnacentral:rRNA from 1 species
UACGUAGGGUGCUAGCGUUGUUCGGAAUUAUUGGGCGUAAAGCGCGUGUAGGUGGUUUGUUAAGUCAUGUGUGAAAUCCCUGGGCUCAACCGAGGAAGUGCACGUGAAACUACCAAGCUAGAGGACGGCAGAGGAUGGUGGAAUUCCUAGUGUAGAGGUGAAAUGCGCAGAUAUCAGGAGGAACACCAAUAGCGAAGGCAGCUCGCUGGGACGGUACUGACGCUGAGGCGCGAAAGCGUGGGGAGCGAACAGG